rnacentral:rRNA from 1 species
UACGAAGGGGGCUAGCGUUGCUCGGAAUUACUGGGCGUAAAGGGCGCGUAGGCGGAUAUUUAAGUUAGAGGUGAAAGCCCAGGGCUCAACCCUGGAAUAGCCUUUAAUACUGGAUAUCUUGAGUUCGGGAGAGGUGAGUGGAACUCCGAGUGUAGAGGUGAAAUUCGUAGAUAUUCGCAAGAACACCAGUGGCGAAGGCGGCUCACUGGCCCGAUACUGACGCUGAGGCACGAAAGCGUGGGGGAGCAAACAGG